rnacentral:rRNA from 1 species
CUACGGGGGGCUGCAGUGGGGAAUAUUGGACAAUGGGCGCAAGCCUGAUCCAGCAAUGCCGCGUGAGUGAAGACGGCCUUAGGGUUGUAAAACUCUUUCGCUAGGGAAGAUAAUGACUGUACCUAGUAAAGAAGUCCCGGCUAACCCCGUGCCAGCAGCGCGCGGUAAUACGGAGGGGACUAGCGUUGUUCGGAAUUACUGGGCGUAAAGAGUUCGUAGGCGGACUGACAAGUUAGAGGUGAAAUCCCAGGGCUCAACCCUGGAACUGCCUUUAAAACUGUCAGUCUAGAGACCGGAAGAGGUUAGGGGAAUACCUAGUGUAGAGGUGAAAUUCGUAGAUAUUAGGUGGAACACCAGUGGCGAAGGCGCCUAACUGGUCCGGUACUGACGCUGAGGAACGAAAGCGUGGGGAGCAAACAGGAUUAGAACCCGUGUAGUC